rnacentral:rRNA from 1 species
AACGAACGCUGGCGGCAUGCCUAACACAUGCCAGUCGAACGAUCCCUUUGGGGAUAGUGGCGCACGGGUGCGUAACGCGUGGGAACCUGCCCUUAGGUUCGGAAUAACUCAGAGAAAUUUGAGCUAAUACCGGAUAAUGUCUUCGGACCAAAGAUUUAUCGCCUUUGGAUGGGCCCGCGUUGGAUUAGCUAGUUGGUGGGGUAAAGGCCUACCAAGGCGACGAUCCAUAGCUGGUCUGAGAGGAUGAUCAGCCACACUGGGACUGAGACACGGCCCAGACUCCUACGGGAGGCAGCAGUGGGGAAUAUUGGACAAUGGGCGAAAGCCUGAUCCAGCAAUGCCGCGUGAGUGAUGAAGGCCUUAGGGUUGUAAAGCUCUUUUACCCGGGAUGAUAAUGACAGUACCGGGAGAAUAAGCCCCGGCUAACUCCGUG